GACUCCCCACGCAGGGCCGCGCUCCCAACAGCCGGGCGCCGGCGGGAGAGUCUGUAACCCGCCCCGGCCCAGCGCCUCCCGGCCGGGCGCCUGCGUGAGCCCGGCCAUUACCAGCGCGGCUGCGGCGCGGUGAGCAGAGCCAAGGCGCAUCCUGCACUUCCUUCCACUGGUUCCACCCGGACGACAGGAAUGUGGCAUGGACAGGAACCAGAGGUCACAGACCUGCGGGGCUGAGGCGACUCUGCCGGCGCCCGUCGAGCUGGGGUUGAUAGGAAGUCGGUGCUUGCUUCAGGGUUUGCAGUCUCUUCAAACCUGGAUUAUGAAGGAUACCAUAAAAAUAUGGAUAAAAUGCUUCCUCCCCACAGUGCCAUACGUUAUGGCCUGCACCCCAAUGUGGAGAUUGCUUUUGUAAUAACUGCGGACAACGCGCUCCACAUGCUAUUAGAGCUGCAAUUCAAAUACUUGGUCACGAAGGAGUGACUGGGGAAGGAGUCUCCUAAGCUGUGGAAGACAAGAAUAUGAAAGACUGGAUCUGCUCAUACAUGAAGUAAGGCAAUCCAUAGAAGAGAAGGCAAGCAGCUGUUGGAUGCCUCGAGAGACCUUCUGAUGGCAAAAAUGAGCACUACUUUGUAUAGAUCCCUGCUGGAAAAGGCACAUGGUUCAGAUUGUGUUAAAUGAUCAACUUCUCCAAAGCCAUCAGGAUAUGGCAUUUGGCUGUCAUUAGGAGAUGGCCACUAACUGCAGGGUGAGUUGGCAAUCUCCUCAGAGAUGGAGCAACUACAGACAGCUCUUUUUUUUGAUAAUCUUCCUGACACUUGGAUGAGACUGGCUUAUCCAUCAACAUACAGUUGCUCAGUGGUAGCCUCCUGAGUGAGGCAAAGAGCCACUGGCUGAUGGAGCUAACCAGGACUCCAGAGCUGACCAAAGGACAGGAAAGCUCUGCCAAGCACAAAGACAGGUAGCACUAGAAGGCAAAGCAAGCCCACACUUCUGACAUCAGUUCAGACUUCUGAGAGAUCAAAAGUGGAAGAAGAAAUCUUGUUCAGCAGAGGAGACAUUGAGAAAAACACCAGAGGUACAUUGUGGUGAAGAUCAAUCAGAGCUUUACGGAAUUAAAUGCUCUUUUAGCUUUUCUUGAUGGAAAACUAAACCACCAUAGAGAUACUGUGAUGUCUGUGAUAAAUAUAUGUCCUGAAGACAGAAAGCGUUGCCUAGGGGAUAUAACACAGUAAUGCUAAAUUACAAGCUGUUUUCCUGAAGGACAACACAGCUGCUUUCUUUAAAAAAAUAUAUGGGGGAUUCAAGCUGGACCUUACAUUCACGUUUGGACAAAGGAGGGUAAAAGUACCCACUGAUUAUAUAAAAGCUAUCUUGCAGAACUAGUAGGAUUUAAGGUGACAGAUUAUCUUUUACCAUCAGGUGCAAAAUGCAGUGAGUCACCAGGGAGUGAAAUCAUUGCUGUGCAGCAGUGUUAUGCAGCUGGGCUCGGAGACAGCUUCCCUGCUGGAGCACAGCGUGUUCGGGAGGCACUGCAGAGCAGCUGAAAGGGAGACACCAGGGAGGUUACACAGACACAGGGCUGGUGGAGUGGUCAGCCUAGCCCAGCUCUCAGUUCCCUGCAUUUGGGGAGGCGAAAAAAAACAACAGAGACUGAAAAGAAACCUUGAAUCACUGUCAUGUCUAAAACCCCAUAGUAAUUGUCAGUAACAGGAGCUGUGAGCUUCCUCCAGGGAAGGACAUUCUCCCUGUCAUGCAUGCUGCAAAGAAUGCAGAAGCCUCAAGUCAUCAUGAUAGUUUUAUCUUCCCUGUUUUAAACCCCUCUGUCUUUUAUAUACCUACCUGAAAUGCCACCAUCUGAGACAUCUGAAAAAACGCCUUUCAUUUCUAAGCAGCUGACAUUUUAAAGUAAGGUGGGACAGGGUGAGGAGGUAAAGGGAAAAAUCAGAAUAUACAGUGCACAGUUUAACAUGUUGGGCUCAGCAAAUGCGUCAGAAACAGCAAACACAAGUGAUAAAAUGAUGGAGAUCAUCGGAUCACCUAGUAAUCUCAGUUUAUCUUCAGGAUCAUUUUCUGUGUCUUUGAAAUGAACACAAAUUCUGUUAAUGCUGGCCCUAUAUGUCACCUAUUUUAUGUUUCUGUGGAGGAGUCACCUCUUGCCUCUAAGCCAGCAGUCUCCUCUCUCUGGCUUAGAGGCACUCAACUGUCCCCAGGGCACAUUUGUCUAGGAUUUCUUCACAGCAGCAUUUUAGGAAGCAAGAAGCAAAACCACAGACUGCCAAAAAACCCCUCAGCUGGAAAGGUGGGGAUGUGACACCAGAGAUCUUAAAUGGAGUAAAAAGAAAAUAAACCAAGCUGAUACUUUCUUUUUCAGGCCACAGAACUUCAGCAGAUAGGGAAAUAAAGUGUGGAGGAAAGACAAAGAUGGAAACUCGUGUCAUGGGUCAUCCAGAUUUCUGGAAAUCUGCAAAAU